GAUGAACGCUGGCGGCGUGCCUAAUACAUGCAAGUCGAGCGAACGGACGCGACGCUUGCUUCUCUGAUGUUAGCGGCGGACGGGUGAGUAACACGUGGAUCCCCUACCUAUCAGACUGGGAUAACUUCGGGACACCGGCUCUCAUACCGGAUAAUAUUUUGAACCUCAUUGUUCAAAAGUGAAAGACGGUCUUGCUGUCACUUAUAGAUGGAUCCUCGCUGCAUUAGCUAGUUGGUAAGGUAACGGCUUACCAAGGCAACGAUGCAUAGCCGACCUGAGAGGGUGAUCGGCCACACUGGAACUGAGACACGGUCCAGACUCCUACGGGAGGCAGCAGUAGGGAAUGGUAGGCAAUGGGCGAAAGCCUGACGGAGCAACGCCGCGUGAGUGAAGAAGGUCUUCGGAUCGUAAAACUCUGUUAUGAGGGAAGAACAUAUGUGGAAGUAACUGUGCACAUAUUGACGGUACCUAAUCAGAAAGCCACGGCUAACUACGUG
rnacentral:rRNA from 1 species